GAAUGCUCGCCUGCCACGCGGGCGGCCCGGGUUCGAUUCCCGGUCGAUGCAAUUCUUUUUG
rnacentral:sRNA from 1 species